AUCGCUUCUCGGCCUUUUGGCUAAGAUCAAGUGUACAAUAGAGUGCCUAUAAUUAAUGAUAUGGUAUUUUGCACUUCAAAAUAUGAUUUUCUUAAUUCACUCUGUCAAGAAGGAUAGAAGAAUAU
rnacentral:snRNA from 1 species